UACCUGGUUGAUCCUGCCAGUAGUCAUAUGCUUGUCUCAAAGAUUAAGCCAUGCAAGUCUAAGUACGAGCUCUCGUACAGUGAAACUGCGAAUGGCUCAUUAAAUCAGUUAUGGUUCAUUUGAUCGUACAGUUUACUUGGAUAACUGUGGUAAUUCUAGAGCUAAUACAUGCGAGAAGCGCCGACCUCGCGGGAGGCGUGCAUUUAUCAGACCAAAAACCGGCCGCGUCUUCGGGCGCGUUCGCCUUGGUGACUCUGGAUAACUUUGCGGAUCGCACGGUCUAGCACCGGCGACGGAUCAUUCAAGUGUCUGCCCUAUCAACUUUCGUCGGUACGGUAUUUGCCUACCGAGGUUCUCACGGGUGACGGGGAAUCAGGGUUCGAUUCCGGAGAGGGAGCCUGAGAAACGGCUACCACAUCCAAGGAAGGCAGCAGGCGCGCAAAUUACCCAUUCCCGACGCGGGGAGGUAGUGACGAAAAAUAACAAUGCAGGACUCGUUCGAGGCCCUGUAAUUGGAAUGAGUACACUUUAAAAGCUUUAACGAGUAUC
rnacentral:ncRNA from 1 species